UCUCCUUCUGCUUCUAGGAUGGUGCAUCGAUUUAGACAACUGGAUGCAAAGCUCUCUGAUUUGAAAGGCCUUCUGAAAGAGAUUUCCAGUAAAAUUAAAUGAGUGCAGCUGAAAUUCAAGAGCAGCUACUGGAGCAGGGUACCAGUUCAUGAAGAAAAAUUGCUCGGAGCUGGCAGUAACCCCCAAGCAGAUGGUAACGGAGGCACCAGAGUAUCAAUGUCUCGGCAGGAGUCAGCAGGAUUUUCUUGCUAUUUUUAUUUUUGUUGAUCAAACAGCCCUUUCUGCUUGUUGCAAGGUUGUGGUGAAACAGGAGAUGAUUGCUUAUCUCCUGACAUGAUUCCUGCAUUCCCCAAACUCUUCUCAUCUGCCCUAAUGUCCACUGGCAGCAAUUAGUCCUUGUAAGCUGCUGUUGCAAAACACUCCUAUUUCCAAGAGUUCUGCUGCUGUUGCCAAAAUCCCUUUGCUUUUACACUUCACUCAAAGGGACCCGUGCAUGGGUUUCCUUCAAGCACUAAUUGCGCGUCUGAAUGAAUCCAUCUCCCUUCCUGUUCUGUCCUGCAGUAGCUGGAUCUUGCUUGUUCCUUGCACGGGCUGUCUGUCAGACCUGCUGGGGUCUGGAAGGCUGGCAUGCCAGAAAGCAAUGGAUUUCAGCAUCAUCCCCCCAAGGAAAGCCUUUGGUCCAGCCCUUCAUCCCUAUUUCAGACUGUACAGGAACAUUGUGGACUUGUUCCCCCUCUACCUGGAGCCUUUCAGCAGUGCAGAAGUUCAGCUAUUACAGCCCUGCAUGGGAGAGACAUUAAUUCAUCUAGGAAAUGUUUCUAAAGGCUUUGUGGGCAAUCCUUGCUUGGUUUCAUUGAUGAAAAUUUGUAUUCUGGGAAUGUUUGAAUUCAUUUGACUUUUCCAAUGUGUGUUUGCUGAUGUUUGCAGCUGGAAAUGGAGAAGAGAUUGUUGGAACCUUUAAAUAGAGCAGUGCUUGAUAUGGUGAGGUGGCGCUUUGUGCUUUCUGUCUAAAAUAGCAGCUGAAUUCUGUCACAUUUUGUUUGGUAUAACUGAGAGCACAGCCAACUGAAAGCACUACAAAUAGCAUUUAUUUACAUGGCAAAGCAUUGUAUCAACCUUCCUUCCCAGUGUCCAGGAAUCAUGGAAUCAUAGACUCACCAGAGGAAAGGACCUGCCAGGAUGAUGGAGUCCAAGCCCUGGCCCUGCACAGACACCCCAACAAUCCCAGCCUGUGCAUCCCUGAGAGCAUUGUUCAAAUGUUCCUUGGGCUCUGUCAGCCUGGGGCUGUGCCCAUUCCCUGGGGGAGUCUGCUCAGUGCCCCAGCACCAUCUGGGAGAAGAACCUUUUCCUAAAAUCCCACCUGACCCUGCCCUGACACAGCUCCAGCUGCUCCCUCAGGUGCUGUCCCUGUCACAGAGAGCAGAGAUUGGAGAUGUCCUCUGGGAGGAAGCUGCCAGCCAUGCUGAGACCUGCUCCCUCUCUUUCCUCCUCUUCUCCAAGCUGACCAAGCCAAUUGACUUUAGCCGUGCCUCAUACAGCUUCCCCUCCUGUCCCCUCAUCAUCUUCAUUCCCCUCUUUGAAUACUCUCUGCAGGCUUUGUAUCCUUAUGAUAUGUUCAGAGAGGUUGCUGCUCUUUUCUCCCUGUAUCUCAUGACCCAGCUGUACUGUAUGCUGUGCAUGACACCAUCCUGGGGGCUCCAGCACUAACAAGAGCAGUGGUAUUUGUUUACAUGUGGAAACAUUUCCUGCUGAAAAGUAAAGGGCUUUCACUGAUUCACACGGCAGUUAGCUUGCACCAUAAAUUCUUGAGAUAAGAUUCCUUUCUGGAAGUUAUUUUUCCCAUAUAAUUUGUCUGCCUUGGAUGUGAAAAUUGUGCUAUUUGUUCACUCCCUUCCUAUAUAAAACCUGUGGAAUCCUUUAAACCCUUCAGGGAAAUCCCAAGGACCCUGCCUUGUAAGAAUAUACCCUAGAGUCUCCACCUAGGCUUAAAGAGAAGACUUCUGCCAUGGAGCCUUGCAACACCAUGAUCCACCCCAGUUCCUUUCCCCAUAUGUCCCAAAUUCUUGUGGUUUUUCCUUUCCCUGUUUCCUCAUUGGUUGUGGUAUCCCUGGUGGCCAGCCCUGUCUUCCCUGUAGGCCAAUGCCAUCAGACCACUGGCCUCUGACCCCUACUUAACCUUGUGCAGAGCACAGGGCCAGGUCUUUGCCCCUGAUCCCUUUGGCAUGGUGGAUGCAAUAAACCUUCGCUGGAAUACAUCAUAAACAGACCCUUCCUGUCUUUCCUCCGCUGAGCUGUGUGUGUGAGUGGAUUUGAAAUGGCUGUUCUUGUGGCCUCACUCAGAGCAGCUUCUGAAGGAGACGCUUCAAAGAAGGCUGCAGCAUUUCUACCACCCUGCCACGUGGCAACAAAAACCUGCUGUGUGGUUCCCGAAGCUCUAGUGAUCUGUUGUUGUGUGAAUGUAGCAGUGAAACCAUGUUCUGUAAGGCCUGAAUUCUGGAGUCAGUCCGUGUCCAGUGCUGCACCCAGGGGCACCAGCCUGUGCCACACACGCUGCUGCAGCCAGAGGCCGCGCGGGCUCUUCUCCAGGCUCCCGUGGGCCCCAGCCGGGUGCCGAUGGAGCCCCGGCCCGGCGGGGCUGCGGGGUGGCACCGCGGCUCCCCGGGCAGCAGCCGGCCCUCUGCCCCCUCCAGAGCCCGGCGCCAGCGGCUGCUGGCCGGGCCUCAGGGCUGUGCGGGCAGGGGAGGCCGGGGCUGGGCUGGCGGCCAGCCCGGGCCCUCGUGGCUGCCCAGGCCACAGUGCCGUGACCGAGGGUCCCCUGACACCGUGGGGAGGGCGGCCGUGUCUCCUCGAGCAGGGCUGUGGAGGUGCUGCUGUCCCGGCGGCUCUGGAUCCCACAGAAACAGCACCGGAACACGCACGAGAACAGCAAGUCUGCGAGCACUUCCCCUGGCUGCUCCUUUAGUGUGUUCACAACACACUGAGAGACACAGAACACCACCUGCUUCUCCUCUAAGAGUUAUCCCUUUCCUCUGCAUUUCCCAAUGCACCAGAUAUUAGCUGCUGGCUUUAGCUAGACACACAAACAGUGCUGCAUUAAACUUUGGACUUGGCUGUUUUUCUGUUCCAGAAUGCUUUAAAAAUGCGCAGAAAAGUCCAGGGAGACAUGACUGUGUCUCUGUCCUGUGAAAAUCAAUAGCUGUUGGUGCUUUUGUGUU